CUGCGUGGUGGACUCUCGCGAGAGCGCGCAGCGCAGCGACUCGCCGCUGAGGGACUUUAGGAAUGAGGUGGGGUGCGGAGAAGCUUCGCGGGGCGGAGGGACACAGUCGGAGGCCGACCAGACAUUUUGCGGGAGAAGAUGGCACAGUGUGGAAAAGGAGAGUAGGAGGCUUCCCUCAGCCGUGGAGUCUGGGAGGCGGGGAGACGUCUCUGAGUUCUCCUGUCUCACAGCAAGACAGCCAGCAGACCCAGUGCCACCAGCCAGUCUUGCUCCAUCUUUUGAAAUGGACACUGGAUGAGCAUGAAAUACUCCAGGGGCCAUUUUCAUGAUCCUCUGUCCUUGGCGUGGAGCACAGUCUGAUAUCAGCUUCAGGAUCAAGACUUCCCAGUUCCUGAGGAUUGGAGGCUGGACCCUCAGGUAGGGUUAGAUCAUGUUGAACCAAAUACCUGACCUUUGGAGGGUGCAAAUUCUCUCUCCUACUUCUCAGUCUAGUAAAACGUCUUUGGACUUUACAUAUGGAGAGGAAAAAACUCCUGGACUGUCACAGGCUUUCUUCCUUUCAAAGGGAGCAAAAAUCUCAUUAAAUCUAUAGGAACUUGUCCUCGACUCUGAAGCCAAACAGGCAUUUUUGGGUUACUCAGAAAUUAAAAUGAUUUGGAGGUUACUGCCCACUCUCCCUGUCCCUCGUAGGCUCAGCAUAAGGGGGGCUGAGGGCACACUCUCCUGGCUCCAUAAAAUAGGUAGACUAGGUCAAAUCCCCUUGCAACACACUCUGAAUUGGUCGGGACCCUUUCUCCUGCAAGCAAGGGACAGAUACUCCAGUCAAGCUUGUUUAAGCAGAAAGGGAAUUCCCUGAAUCACGUAAUUGAGAAGACCAUGUUGGAUAUAGAAGCUGAAUUUAUGUCAAGUUCCUCUGUCAUCUGUCUUUGCCGUUCUGCUGCCUCCUCUCCUCCCCCUCUCUUGCCCUCUUCUCCUUCCUCUUCUUCUUCCUUCUCUUUUUUGUCUUUUUAUUCUUUCCU
rnacentral:lncRNA from 1 species